GCCUUCAGUUGCCAGCAUUUAGUUGGGCACUCUGGAGGGACUGCCGGUGACAAGCCGGAGGAAGGUGGGGAUGAUGUCAAGUCCUCAUGGCCCUUACGGGCUGGGCUACACACGUGCUACAAUGGCGAUGACAGUGGGAAGCAAGUCAGCGAUGGCAAGCCAAUCUCAAAAAGUCGUCUCAGUUCGGAUUGUUCUCUGCAACUCGAGAGCAUGAAGUCGGAAUCGCUAGUAAUCGCGUAUCAGCAUGACGCGGUGAAUACGUUCCCGGACCUUGUACACACCGCCCGUCACGUCAUGGAAGCCGGGAGUGCCCGAAGUCACCUUG
rnacentral:rRNA from 14 species